rnacentral:misc_RNA from 1 species
CUGGUCUUUCUAAUCAUAUCCAGCUGCAUGCAGCCUCUAUCGAGGGGGCGCGCUGAUGAUCUUCGGAUCUUCAGUAAGUGUGCAGUUCAACAUUCUGCCGAGUGUGUGGAUAUUGAUAAUGAGAGCAAUCAAGUGCCUUAAGGGUGUUCGGUGGAUGCCUUGGCGAUGAGAGGCGACGAAGGACGUGCUACGCUGCGAUAAGCCGUGGGGAGCUGCGAAGGAGCUUUGAUCCACGGAUUUCCGAAUGGGGAAACCCACCUUCGAUAGCCGAAACUCUAAGCGCACGAUGACGCAAGUCACCGUGGGUUUGGAUUUUCGGUUAUCAAGUGAAGGUAUGAGACUUCUGAAUACAUAGGAGGUUUCAAGCGAA